UACGUAGGUCGCAAGCGUUGUCCGGAUUUACUGGGCGUAAAGAGCGCGCAGGCGGCUGGUCAAGUCCGAUGUGAAAUCUCCCGGCUUAACUGGGAAACUGCAUCGGAAACUGAUCGGCUUGAAGGUGGGAGAGGGUGGUGGAAUUCCCGGUGUAGUGGUGAAAUGCGUAGAUAUCGGGAGGAACACCAGUGGCGAAGGCGACUACCUGGCCUGUUCUUGACGCUGAGGCGCGAAAGCUAGGGGAGCAAACGGG
rnacentral:rRNA from 1 species